rnacentral:rRNA from 1 species
UACGAAGGGGGCUAGCGUUGCUCGGAAUCACUGGGCGUAAAGCGCACGUAGGCGGCUUUCUAAGUCAGGGGUGAAAUCCUGGAGCUCAACUCCAGAACUGCCUUUGAUACUGGAGAGCUUGAGUCCGGAAGAGGUGAGUGGAACUCCGAGUGUAGAGGUGAAAUUCAUAGAUAUUCGGAAGAACACCAGUGGCGAAGGCGGCUCACUGGUCCGGUACUGACGCUGAGGUGCGAAAGCGUGGGGAGCAAACAGG